rnacentral:tRNA from 1 species
CCGACCUUAGCUCAGUUGGUAGAGCGGAGGACUGUAGUAGGUUCAGAGCAGCUUAUCCUUAGGUCGCUGGUUCGAAUCCGGCAGGUCGGA